rnacentral:misc_RNA from 1 species
GCUUCUGGAAUAACAUAGCAGCUCGAUCUAGUUUUCCCACUUUAGCCCAUAUAGAUAUUAUGGUCGAGUAGGUAAUAGCAUUGGGCUCAAUUCCUAUGUUCUGCAUUUCCUGAAUAAGAUUGUUGGCUUUCUCAUGUUCCAGUGUCUUUCCAUAUAUCUUAAUCAUGGUGUUGUAAGUGACAACAUUUUGUUCAAUAUUUUUUCUUUGCAUCAACCUAAACAAAUGUAUAGCUUCCCCGAAAAGCUCAGCUUCACCAUAAACCCUCAGAAGAGUAUUGUAGCUGACAACAUUUGGUUCAAUUCCCAUUUUCCUCAUACUCCAAAACAAUCUAUCUGCUUCCUUGGCCAUAUCGAGCUGUCCAUAAACAUCAAUCAUUAUAUUACAAGUUGUGAGAUCAAGAGGGCACUUCACCUCAUUCAUCUCGGAGAAAA